AUUGAACGCUGGCGGCAGGCCUAACACAUGCAAGUCGAGCGAGCGGCGGACGGGUGAGUAAUGUAUGGGGACUGCCUGAUAGAGGGGGAUAACUACUGGAAACGGUGGCUAAUACCGCAUACAGUCGGAUAACCCAUAUGGGAUUAGCUAGUAGGUAAGGUAAUGGCUUACCUAGGCGACGAUCCCUAGCUGGUCUGAGAGGAUGAUCAGCCACACUGGGACUGAGAAAAGGCCCAGACUCCGACGGAGGCAGCAGUGGGGAAUAUUGCACAAUGGGCGCAAGCCUGAUGCAGCCAUGCCGCGUGUGUGAAGAAGGCCCUCGGGUUGUAAAGGACUUUCAGUCGGGAGGCGUUACCGACAGAAGAAGCACCGGCUAACUCCGUGCCAGCAGCCGCGGUAAUAC
rnacentral:rRNA from 1 species